rnacentral:rRNA from 1 species
GAUUGAGUUUGAUCCUGGCUCAGGAUGAACGCUAGCGGCAGGCCUAAUACAUGCAAGUCGAACGAGCUUAGUUCUUUCGGGAACUAGGUUAGUGGCGCACGGGUGCGUAACGCGUAUGCAACCUACCUUCCACAGGGGGAUAGCCCGGGGAAACCCGGAUUAAUACCGCAUGACACCACUGACCUGGCAUCAGGUUGUGGUCAAAGUUUCGGCGGUGGAAGAUGGGCAUGCGUGCCAUUAGCUAGUUGGCGGGGUAGAGGCCCACCAAGGCGACGAUGGCUAGGGGUUCUGAGAGGAUGGUCCCCCACACUGGUACUGAGACACGGACCAGACUCCUACGGGAGGCAGCAGUAGGGAAUAUUGGGCAAUGGCCGAGAGGCUGACCCAGCCAUGCCGCGUGCAGGAAGAAGGCCUUCUGGGUUGUAAACUGCUUUUAUCGGGGAAGAAAACGCUCCUGCGGGAGUAACUGACGGUACCCGAUGAAUAAGCACCGGCUAACUCCGUGCCAGCAGCCGCGGUAAAAU